rnacentral:lncRNA from 1 species
CUGGCGCGAGGGGGCGCGGAGCACGGGAGCUGGCCCGUGUCUCAGUUGCUGUGCGUACGAUGACAAUGACGGACGAAGCGUUGCUCGCUGCUCAGCGCGAAAAGGGCCGCUCGGCGUCGAUCUGCGCGCCGGGGAUCUCGAGCAUGGAAGUGUUCCUGUCGGGGAUCCCGCCCCCGGGGACGCCGCCCCUGGACGCGGCGGCGGCCGCCGGCACCGGUACCCCGCGACGAAGGCGACCCGCGACCCGAUCUCAGAGCGCCAGACUCACCGGCGGCAAGUCGGUCCGCCGCCGGGCCCUCAACGCCGAGCUCGCCGGCAGCAACCAGAGCAUGAGGAGCGGCGGCAGCGAACCCCGCCUCGAGCAAGCCAGUGUGACAGACUCUCCUUCGGGGUUUCGGCGAAAGGGAAGCGCGCGGAGGGUGAACUCAGUGUAUCACGGUCAGCAAGAAAGUCGACAGCUUUCUUGGAUGUACCCACAAAUCAAUCGGACGAUUCACCUCCGGACCAGGACUCGUAUCGGCUCAGAUCUUUAGCUUCACUUCUAAAGGUAAGCUUUCGCACCUUCAACCAAUGCAGCUACUAUUCCUUAGAAAAUCCCACUCCUCACAAUGGAGAUGUUGCGUGUGUA